GUCACCGAGCGCGCAGAGAGGUGCGGGAAGGACAGCGAUAGUAAAAGUCGAGGGAUGAAGGGAAGAAGCUGUACUGACACCGUCCAGCCGGUUCCUAACCGCAGCCGCAUCUCCACCGCCCCGGGAGCGGCUGGGGAAGCCUCCCUUUGCACAUGCCCGGGAAGAAAAGUGAGGCUGGGGUCACGCAAACACCCAUGCAUGUUUUCCCGUCUUUCCCUGGAGUGCCUUCGGACACGCUUUCAUUUGUCGACUUGCGCCGAAGCUGAAACCGCCAAGUUUGCGAGUAAAGACGAGAGGAAAAAAAAACCCACAAAAACAACACGACAAACAAACAAGCAAGGGAAAAAAAAGACGAAAGUGAUGCGGCGGUUCCAGCUGCCGCCGUGCGGGGCCGUGGCCGAGCUCUCCCGUGUUCCCGAGGGGAAGGCGGCGGGGCCGCCCGCAGCCCGCACAGACCGCGCUUGCAACUCAACUUCGUCCUGCGCGAAAUUCUCCGCGGUUUGGGUCAUAAUAACUCAUUUAGAAAUUAACAGCUGUAACGGGGUGAGAGGAGUGUGAUUGGGAAAGACUUCACUGUAAACACCAGUAUGCUGCAGUAAACCAUCUUAUGAAGGAAGAAUUCUCCCAUCAUUUUAUGGGAAAAUAAUAACAUUAACAUUAACUAGUGCUUACCGGGGUUUAUUAAAUUUAGGGGGAGUCAACGGAGUUAGAGAGUAAUUUGAGAUCAGAGGCACCAACCUCUCUGCAGAAGCAAGAAAAGAGCGUAACCUUAGGCAAGGUACCUGUGACCUCUCUGUACCUGUGUGAUUCUUCACAAAAAAUGAUGCUGACAAUCUCUACUGUCGUGGGAAUGUGCUGGAUUUCUGUAUCAGGAAAAAUGCAUAGAAUUGGUAAUUGUAAACUUAGAUUAUAUGUAAUGAUUUUGUAAGAAAUCUCAGUGAGGACAGCUUCUUAUGAAAACUCAGGAAUAGUUGAUUUUCUAGCUAUGACUGCAGUGGGCCAAACUAUCUCCUAUAUCCACACUACCAAAGACAUAAGGGAGUUAGUUAUCUAACUAAAAGUUUCUUGCCACUGGGUGAUCUAGGCCUAUAAACUCCAACUUUUUUCUGCAAACCCCUUGGGAAUUUGAAAAUAUUUUCCCCGGCUAUUUAUGAAAUAUAUUGGUGACCUUAAGCAAGCAUUCUUAGGUCUGAAAUGUCAAAAAGAUAAAUAUUACUUCAUCUACUCAACACUGUCAUAUAUGUUAUUCUUGACCAUUAACAGAUUAAAUAUACUGGCUAUAGCAGCACAGCUUUGUUUGCAAACAAUUUCUGUGACAAAGACAUUAGGAUAUACUAGAAUCCAAGUUUGCAGUUUAUAGUUUUUACUUCUAUAUUGGCAUAGAUAUAUAUUCAGAAGCUCAUUUUUUAGCAGAGUUUGAUUCAUAACAAGCAUUAUUUUUCCAUAGUUAUGUUUGGGGCUUUUUGGGGGCAUAACUGGGGUACUGAACACAAGAAGUGGGACCCAGGCAUGUGUAAAAUUCAGGUUAAAAAGUAAAUUAUUUCAUGACCAACAUUCUGGAAUGAAUGUUCUUAGUUUUCAUAGAUGAUCUGUCUUAUUCAAAGUUUUAUCUGAACUCCUCUGAAUUGUUUUUCAACACUACAUCACUUCUGAAAAAUUUCCACAGUCAUUUCAAAGUAAUUACAGGACAUUUAAUUACAAUAAAUGCACUAAUACCACUUGUCCAUCCCACUUUUCAGCUAAAAUUCACUGGUCCUGCAGGCUGGCAUGUUUUAUGAUUUAGCUAUUCCUGUGCAUUGUGUAGCAAUGUUUGCUUUAAUUUCUGAAAUAAGUGGGGUUUCAGAGAUACAGAGAGCCAUGAAUUGGGAUGGUUAAGCACAACACAUGCACCCUUUUUCUACCCAACAACUUCAGGAACAACAUAGGGGUGACAGAAUCUUCAGUAAUGCAACAGAUUUGCCAGAGGAUGUUUGCUUAAAUCAUCUCUGUAAAACAAUUUCAUUAUCCUGAAAGAAAAAAUGAUCCCGUUUUACCCUCCUAUUCCUUUUCUUCUGUCAUGCACCCUACCCCAACUCUAUUUCACCACAUCACCUUCCAGUUUGAGAUUUGACUGGGAAUGCUUUGCUAGUGUUUAAGUACACCGACCAAAUAAUUCUAAUAUUAGCAUCUUUCCUGCCUGCUAAACUAUGCUUUUGCCAGCAUACCAGUCUUCCUCCAAGAAAAAUAAACUGUGUUGGGUAAUGCUCAGAUUUAUCAAAAUAUACUAUCUGUGUGAGGGGCAUUUGCCAUCAGUUAUGUCAGUCAUAAAAUUUUACCUCUGUCCACCCUAAAAUGACAGAGGCAUGCCUAGAAAAUUAUAGACCUUGCUUUUGGCAAUGAAGUUUAGAUGUAGCAAAUACAGUUUUGUUGGCACAGAGCCCUACUGAUUGCACAUUUCCAUGCUUCAAGUACUUGGGGUUCCUUAGCUGUAUAAAAAAAUUGUGAUAAUGUCAUUUAUGUAUAAGUGUAUUUUAACUUGUUUUCAUUACUGAGCUAUAUGGAUGGAUGCUAAACACUGGCCAACAGCAUGGUUUUUCAAGCAAUUAACUUCUCAAGCCAUCGAUGAAUUUUGCUUGGGAAGGCUGUUUGUCUGAAUAAUAGUUAAAUGAUUGAAUUUAUUACUUCUAGGGGCAUGCAACUGGUUUUAGUUACAUCUGGAAGUUUGAUUCUACAAGCCCAGCACAUACAGCGUCCAGUUGGGGUUUUUUGUUUGUUUCCUUUCCCUCUGUCCUCCAUCUCCAUUAGCAGGACUGAAGCACGAGGCCCUAUGAAUAUGUAGCUGUAUUUACAUACUACCCAAAUUCACAGUUACUCAGAAGACGCUUUCUGAAAAACUGGAUGCAUGAGUAGGUUGAAUUUCAAAAUUUAUGACAUCCUUUAAAAAUAAGUUUUUCCUUUGCUCUUAUUCUAAAUAUAAUUUUGAAAUAUCUUUCAAUAUCAGGAUAAAGAGUAACAGUUGAAAGGGAUCUGUUUGAUGUUUGGCUUGGCUGUUGCCUUUUACCUGUUGCCAGGUUCACAGAGCUGAUGGUAGUGAAGCCAUGGGAAAAAGGUGCAGAGAAAGAUUACGUGCGUCAGCAACAUUUUCUUAUACUAUCAAGAGUACAGUUAUCUGUUCCAACAAAACAGAGUGAUUUAUAUUUUGAUGUCCUUGAACUUCUACAUAAACAGGUGAAGUCAUUUUAUUCCCUGGUACAUUUAUUUGCAUAUUCCUGAUACAGUGUCAUUCUGGUUAUACAUUUCAUAACCUGAGUGUAAGAGGACAUGAACUCCGGUGAACUUGUUUCUCUCUAACCUUUCUCAACUCCUUUGAGUGCUAAUGUACCAUGACUGUGCUACUAUCCAGUUGAGAAGUCUGUGUUAUUUGGGAGGAAGGACAGGUCAUCUUUCCAGAUAGUUUUACAAAAGACUAUUGAUACCACUAGUUUACUAACUCCUAACAGCAGGGUUUAUUCCUUUAUAGCAAGAACUAAUGCUAAAUGAUACAGUUGCCCUUAUCGUUAAAUAGGGGCUGUCAAUUUUUUCCCCCUGCUCCUGUGUAAACAACUAUGGGUGGUUUUAUACAAGAGGGAAAGAUACUCAGAAAUCACAGACUAAAAAUACUUCUUUCUUAAGUAAAGGUUACUUGCUUCAGUGAAUAUAGCACCCACAGUUUUCCAGAGAAUUCCAGGUUAAAUAAAUAGGGAUUACAGUUAUGCAACUUUGUGCAUAUUCAGUAAUUCUUGAAGCAAUAAUAUUUUUAUUAAUUAUUUGAAAUAUGCACAGAAAUAAUGUUGAUGUCACUACCUUGUACGUUCUUAUGGGGGGGGGGGGAUUAAGCCGAGGAAAAUCUGGAGCAUGCCUUAUUUACAGAUUUUUAAAAUUUUUUUUUUUACUACGACUUGGAAAUUUUUCUCCAUUUGGAUCAUUUCUUCCUCAAAUUUGUAUCUCAAGGGGCAGAUUCAGAACCCCGGAGUCCCCAGGCAGGCGGAUACACUGGUGGUGUUUGGGGAAAGCCCUGCGCAAGUUCCCGGGCUCCGAACAAGGAGUCAGUCCAUCUUCCUGCGGCAGGUGAACCCGCAAAGGGCCCAUUCGGUCCCGGUCUCGCUGCAGCAGCGUGUCCCCGGGCCCGGCGGGGCUCCCCGGUCCCUCCCGCCGUGGGGCUCCGCCGGUUCGGUAGCGCCGCCCGGUGCGGGGGCUGCGCGCGUCCGGCGCCUCCCGCGGAAAUCGCCGCUUUUGACAAUAAAAGGAACCCGUGGUGGUUAGUCCUGAUCCAGUUCUAUUGCAGAGCAGACUUCUACAUCUGAACAUCCAUGCAGCAUUUCUCUUUUCUCGCGGAUUAAAAAAAAAAAGAGAAGAAGAAAAAACUUGUUAUAUAAUCAUGAGGAAAAGAAGCAAGUGAGCCUCAAAAUCUUGAAGAUACAAAAAUUAUUUUAAACCAUUAAUUUUCUAUACCAGCUUUGGAGUUGAACACUGAAGUGCCUCAAGGUGCAAGACCUCAGUCCCACUUAUGUAAAACAACUUUUAGAUUAAGUCUGUUGAACAGCUUUUAAUCAUGGUUACUCUUCUCUCCUAUUCUAUCAUUUCCAUCAGAGACAUCAUGUCUAACAGGGCAACAUUGUGUGGCCUAACAAGUAGAAGAAAUGGUUACCAAAUGAGAAUGGUGACUCUACAGAUGAAAAUGGAUGAGUAUAUUUCACCAAGACAAGAUAAACCCUUAUGAAGUGUUCCUUUCUUACAGUAGUGGGAUAAUUUCUCCUUUUAAAGCUCUUGAAUGUUAAUAUUCCCAAACCUUUUGAAAUGUCAUCACUACUGAGCCUCACCAUUUCAUGAAUUACUUCAGUCAGUUCCCUUUUCAACUUCAGCUGUGCACCUGCGCCUAAAGGUAUGAAAGUAGCCCCAGGAGCCUCUCAGUGGUCUUCAGUGCUUCUUGUCUGAUGAUCAAUAGUCCUUUAAAAACAGAGCUCAUUUCCAAAGUUGUGAUGAAAUGAGAGAAAAUCAUAGAAAAUACUCCAGUAUUUUCUGUACUGGAGUAUUCGCAGUGAGCAAGUAUGGAAAAAACCAGAAGAGUAAGGCAAUAAACCAUGGAAUCUCCCAAGAAUGCAAAGCAGCAAUGUUGUAACAGCUAUGUAGGCAUAGCAAUCCCAUGUGUGUGGACAUGACUAUUCCAAAUACAAAUUGCAUCACCAAAGAUAAUGAAACACCCUGGACAUACUGCUCCCUGUUUCAGAGACUUGUCAUAGACACAUAGAUGUCCACAGCAAAUUUCAGUUGCAUGCAGAAUUUAGGUCUCUUUUAUAAGCUUUGUGCUACAUGGAGAGAACUGCUGAAAUGUUACUUUUGAAGUAACAUGAGAAAUGAUAACAAAGACUAGUUAUUUGCUGCUAAAAAAUCCAGUAUUUUUCCACUAAAAUCACUUGGAUAUAUAUGAUAUGCCAAACUGGAAACACAGCCAAGGACUGGAUACUUCACCAUAAGUUUAGUUUAGCAAGAUCUGCCCUGUCUUCUUAGGCUGGGUCUGACCUUGGAAAAUUCCCCUCAGUCCAAAAUUAAAGCACCUUAUCUUGGCUAUGUUCUUAUGACAGGAGAGCUGGCACACGUUGGUUUCUCUAAGGCUAAAAAAAAGGUACUUAAUAUUUUCAGCAGUAAAGUCCAAAUCAAUAGAGUGUGUUCCUCUUCCAUGUGUGCCUCUGCAAAACCAAUGUGUUCCCUGCAUGACUGUUGCAUGUGUUUUAUGUUAUCAGGUGUUAAAUAUGUUCUUCAAUGUGCUCACUAUUGCAUUAGGAAUUGAUAAGCAACCAUGGUGUGGAUAGAGCAAUAGUCUGUCUGGUUGUGUCUUUAUGCAUCACCAGACUAGUCUUAAGAAUGACAUAAAAUGUGGUAUAAAAUAAUAUACAUGCGACUUUAAACAGACAAAGAGGUUGGUAUAACAAGUAGCCUUGGUAGCCAUACAAAUGGCCAGCAAGGUGCUUUGUCUUGCAUCCUUUUUAUACCAGUAACACCUCAAGGUGAAACCCACUCAUUGCUGCACAGAAGUGGUACAGCUUAUUUGGCUCUUUUGCACGUUUUUGUGCAUGCUACACAGGCAAAGCCUUUUGUUGCCCCUACAGGAUGCCCCUGUCUUGAGAGAGAUUUCUGGAAAAACUAUUCUGACAAAUCUUUCCUGACAUGGAUUUGUCUCUACAUUUUUUUAUCAGAGCAAACUUUCACGUGAACAUUUUUAUGACAGAGUAAGCAUGAUUUUCCCAUUUACUUUGAAUCCAUUAAUGACAGGUUGAAAAUGAAAAAUGCCUUCCUAUACCAAGAAGGUGCAUAUCAGGGACAGGCACUGCAAUGAAUAUGCUGACUUCAAAGACAAUUAAAUUCACCUUAGUGUAUCUUUCCCCCAUAGCCAAACCCACAGGUGCCAACCCCAUCAGUCAUUGCCUCACUCACCUUCCUGACAUAUCUUUAAAACUAGAAAAAAGAGCUGAUCAGCUCCUCUCCAUUUCAGUUUUGUGCUUCCCAGCCUGAAGAUCUUUUUAUUUCCUAGCUUCUGGCAUUAUGCCUUCCAGUCUCUGGUCAGAUUCAGCAGUGGCAGCUGCUAGCAGAAAAUCCUCCUAUUCAAGAGAUGACCUUAUGUGCUCCAAACAGGGCUUUCUCAUUCUGACUAAGUCACUUCUCCGUGUUCAACAUGCCUGCAUUAACUCCAUGAUGCAGAUAGAUAGGCUGCAAGUGCUCUGGAGCAAAAGGUAUUAUUUAAAAGGUAAGAGAUUUUGCAUUUUAAAUUUGGAGUGAUGGUGAGACAGUCUUUUUCACUAAAAUAAAUCAACAGAAUUUCACACAUAGCAUCCAGAUUUUAUUUUUAAAUCAAUGCCACUGUAUCAUCCUGAUUUCCUUCUGAAAGAUCCACUGUAAAAUCCUGUAAUGUCUUGUGAAUAAUGUUAGUUAUUCACUCCCAUGCAAAUCUCUUAUUUUCCAAUGCAAAUAUUGCAUAAGGGUAGCACAGUACUCUUAAACAUGAACAAGACAUAAACCAAUUUCAUUCAGAUUAUGAUUGUGUCAUAAAUAAGGCUCUGUAUCCACUCAGUUCAAAUCGGCCUCCUUAAGCAGGCUUGCACUUGUUAAAUCCUGUCUGUGACCUCAGGCAGCCUGUUCUAAAUGCAAGACUCUUAUAUGUGUGAAGAGAGGAGCUUGGAAAAUAACACUGAACUGAGUUAAGGGAAAAUCUAUUUGGAUUCUUUACAUCUAUGACUGGACUGACUUUGUAAAUAGCACACACUUACAUAUGUUUUAAGAAAUGUUGGGUUUGCAUAUGGAAAAGACAAUCACAAGAAUAUGAAAAACUCAUUCAGGUUUGGGUGACCCACAGCCACAAAAAAACCCCUGAGUGCUUGUCUCUGAUAUUUUACCGAAAAUAUAGUCAGUGCAUGCCUACUAAAUUUACUACAUUUCCUCCAUCCCUUUUUUCCCCCUACACUAUUCUUUUUUGUUUUCUGCUCAUCAUGUUAAUUUGAGUACUGAGUAGGUUUGACGUAUGCAAUUCACCGUGUGCACUGAGUAUGUCUGAAAUUACUACUAUUACUGAGGGACAAGCCAGGAACUUCAGGAAUUUUCCAGCAGCACAAAGUAAAGUAAAGCAGCAAAGUAAAAAAAGGUUGCAUACAGGAAAGUUACUGUUUUCAAACAAAUGUUUUGUGAUACUUUUCCUCCCUAAAGCAUACUUGUCAGGCAACAGUUUUCUAGAUGUUAACCUGGGUUUAAUCCUGUUUGAAAUGGUUUCAUUCUGUUAGGCAUUUAAUUUUAAAGCAUAGGGCUUUUUCCUACUUUAGGCUUGGCUUAGGGGCCCCAAUAAGGUGCCAUAGCUAGAAAUUUCUUUUGGUUGUGCGGAUACAAUGAAGGGACUUGACUCAUGCUCACACAGGACUCUGACUCAGGAGCUAGAAUGGCUUUUGUUUGUGCGGCUGUAAUAUUCCCUGCUCAUAAGCAUCUAUUUUGGUCUAGCUUUCUCCCCUCUUUUGAGUUUUACUCACUCUACUGCAAGAUGGGCUAGGCUCUUUGGGAAGCAGCCAUAAUAACCCAAAAGAUUUUAGGCUUGUCAAAAUAAACCAGCACUGAUAUGUGCUUCUUUAAUUCAUGGCCAUUAACAGCUUCAUUCAUGACUUAGUCAUCCUGCAGUAAAGGUGGGGAUGGAGAACUGCACCUGGGAAUGCUCUCUCUUGCCCAGUGUUGGUCACAUUUAAGUGACCAUUUUAAGACAUUAGCUUGUGGACAUGCACCCUCUUCAAGGGUUGUAUGGUAUCUGAAAUUACUACCGUCUGUAGAUGGCUAAUACAACCAUGAUUGUUGUGUUGUGUUAACCAAGCCAGUUUUACCCCAGAAAGAUUAAAAGAGGUAAUAGGGGGAAAGAGGGAGGUGUCUGUCCUGAGAGGAUACUGAGAAUGUAGAAUAUUAAAACAUUAUCAGAGUAUGCUGCUGUUUCCAAAUAGACCCUUAUAAACAGUGUCAGGACCUGUGUUCAGCCAGAAAAUCCCCUCCCAGCUGGGAGCCAGGUGGAUCAAACACCAGUCAAUGUGUUACAAUGUUGGUCCAAAAUCUGACAGUUUAUGUUCAGCUGUACUGAAAGUUUAUGCUGAGCUCCCUGACUGUGCCAUAGGGUGGCUGAGGAUCACUCCCUGUGUGAAUGGCUGUUUGCCUGAGGCAGCUGGAACCUUGGUCAGGGAGAAAAGGAGGGGUAGAGAACAGAUAGCUCCAGGUGACAAUCUCUUUAGAUGCUAGGAUUCACUUGUCAUCUUUAUAAAUUUUCAAUAGCAAGAGCAGGAUCAAAAGGACAUCAUGUUACUGUGUAGGGGUCCUAACUCACACUGCACAGUUAGUGUGGAAGAUCCACCCUCUGCUUUCAAUGGAGAAUGGAACUUGUAUCUAGGACAUAGUUUUACAGCUGAAAAUAAACCAGUUUGAAUUAUCUUUGCCUAAAGGCUGAGACCCACUGAAAAACUGAGAUUUUUUUUUCUGAAUUUAGUAAGUAUACCUUUUGGUUCUAAGUGUAACUUCAGACAAGUCAAAAUGGAUUUCUGCAGUCUAGAAUUAAGAGUAAAUUGGCAAGUCAGGUAAUACUUCUUAUUGGAAAAGAUUAUAUAUGAACAGGAUGGAAUAAUUGACAGGGAAGAUGAACUAGAUGACAGCCUCUAGAAAAUGUUAAUGAUAAUUUUGUUCUGGGUCUUAUUUUUCAUUGAUUUACUAAGAAAUAGACUUUUUACAGGACUGUUCUUCUUAUGAGAACAUUGCAGCCUUCUCAGGAAGAGUCUGUAGAGCUACUGGCCCUGAAAGAAACAGUGGAGGCAAGAAAAUAAAUGUGAUCACUGUCUGAAGGCGAGUCUUUUGUGCAGGUCCCCACACACACCACUUGCCAAUUAACACCCAAGACCAAGCCUCAGGCUCUAUAAUGCUAACUUAAUCCUUAGAAAAGAGUUAAGAAAAAGGCUCUUUUUUUCAUGAACAACAGCAAUCCAACUUCAUAAGGGUGCCUUAAAGUAGAGUGACACCAGUAAACCUGUGUUGAUUCACGCUGGAACAGUUCAGUAUGUAGUGCCCCCAGGAUCUGCUGCACCUCUCUGUGGACAUCACCAUGCCCAAAGCAAAACCAGUGUGUUUGCUCCCUGGCCAAGUCCAGCACUUUAGGUUUAACUGGGAUUGAUGGCCAUUUGAGCCAGUCUGCCAAGCUUGAGGCAGAGGCAGCUGAAGAGCAGACCCAGUGGCUGUUCUCUCAAGUUUACAAAGGGGUUUUCCAGUUUCUUCCAGAAGAGAAAAGCAGCCAGCAGGAGCUAAAAAAUAUUCUAGAUUGUCCCAGCUGUGCUUUUUUUAAAGUACAGCUUUUCUGUUGUUUGAUGCUAUUCUGCAUUUUCAGCUGCCACCCCUUACCUUUCCCAAGUGAUCCUGUGUAAUCUCUGUUGCUGCUGUCGCUGGUGGUGCAGCCAUACCCAAGGCAGAAGGUGGGGCUGUAUUGUAAAUGCACAACAAGCCCUGUGGCAGGGAAGAACAAUGUAUCUGACUCCAUGUUAUCAGAAGGCUAAUUUAUUACUUUAUUAUACUAUAUUAUAUUACAGAGUACUAUACUAUACUAAAGAA